UACGAAGGGUGCAAGCGUUACUCGGAAUUACUGGGCGUAAAGCGUGCGUAGGCGGUUUGUUAAGUCCGUUGUGAAAGCCCUGGGCUCAACCUGGGAAUUGCAGUGGAUACUGGCGAGCUAGAGUGCAGUAGGGGUAGAGGGAAUUCCCGGUGUAGCGGUGAAAUGCGUAGAGAUCGGGAAGAACACCAGUGGCGAAAGCGCUCUGCUGGACUGCAACUGACACUGAGGGACGAAAGCUAGGGGAGCGAAAGGG
rnacentral:rRNA from 1 species